rnacentral:rRNA from 1 species
GUGGGGAAUCUUAGACAAUGGGGGAAACCCUGAUCUAGCCAUGCCGCGUGAGCGAUGAAGGCCUUAGGGUUGUAAAGCUCUUUCAGCUGGGAAGAUAAUGACGGUACCAGCAGAAGAAGCCCCGGCUAACUCCGUGCCAGCAGCCGCGGUAAUACGGAGGGGGCUAGCGUUGGUCGGAAUUACUGGGCGUAAAGCGCGCGUAGGCGGACCAGAAAGUUGGAGGUGAAAUCCCAGGGCUCAACCUUGGAACUGCCUUCAAAACUCCUGGUCUGGAGUUCGAGAGAGGUGAGUGGAAUUCCGAGUGUAGAGGUGAAAUUCGUAGAUAUUCGGAGGAACACCAGUGGCGAAGGCGGCUCACUGGCUCGAUACUGACGCUGAGGUGCGAAAGCGUGGGGAGCAAACAGGAUUAGAAACCCUAGUAGUCC